CUGCAAUGGACCACUAAGACUACUUAAUUUCAUGCAAAGAACAAACACAGGCUUUGCCUAAUCUCCAGGACCUGGGGGUCUGAACCUGAGAGAGGGAGGAGUCCCUUCUCCUGGACCAGACAGUCCUGGAGAAUCUGUGGGUUGAAGGUUCCGUUCACAUGUUCCUAUCUCAUGUCUCAGAGACCUUCUUUCCAUUGAGUGCCCUCACUUUGUGUAGGACCCUCUUUAGGGCUGAGAAUUUAGCCUAUAGUGAGUUAAAUCACAGUCUCCAAAAAGAUAUAUCCAUAUUCUAGUCCCCCAAAACUGUGCCUGUGACCUUAUUUAGGAAAAUGUUCUUUGCAGAUAUAAUUAAGGAUGUCAGGAUGAGAUCAUCUCGGGUUAUCUAGGUGGGCCCAACAUUCAAUGACAUACAGGAGAGAAGGCGGAGAGUGUACGGCCAUGUGAAUAUCCAGGCAGAGAAGACUGUUGCAAUCAAGAAUCCAAAGAAGAGAAGACAAGGGUCAUGCGUCGGCACCAACACAGGCACACGCAGUUCUGCCUCAAGGUGGGUAAAGCUACACGUUAAACAAACCCAGCGGGAAAGUGCGGCAGUGGAGCUCUGCUGCCCACCAAGACCACGUCUGGGAAUUUGGGAGCAAACUGCUUUGACCAGGAACGUUGGGAGAUUAUCACAGACAAGAGGUGUUGGGGGCCGGGGGCAGGGGCUCAAGCCUGUAAUCCCAGCACUUUGGGAGGCCGAGGCGGGCGGAUCGCGAAGUCAGGAGAUCGAGACCAUCCUAACACGGUGAAACCUGGGAGAUGGAAGUUGCAGUGAGCCGAGAUCGCGCCACUCACUCCAGCCUGGGCGGCAGAGCGAGACUCCAUCUCAAAAAAGAAAAAGGUGUUGGAAUUCCUUUUUAUAAAUGAUAGAUAUUACCACAAAAUGACAAAAAUGGAAGGUGGUUUUGAACGUCGGCAAAACUGCCCGAGAACUUUAAUUAGGACAAUGUCGCCCCAACGACUGCCUUCAAAACCGUAACUUUCAGAAGAAUGCUCUGGGCACCACAUGUGCUGCAUGAGGCUUGUUAAUGCAAUUUCCACUGUAACAAAUAGCCUCAAAAAAAAUAAAGUUGCACAUGCAUCAAAUUUGCUUUUUAAAUUAUACAGGAUUGGCCAGAUAUAUUGACCAGAGCAAAAACUUUUAACAGAAUACAGAGAAUAAACAGAAACCAUUCAUUUAUACAUUAUUCACAAAUAUUCCAAGUUCUUGUUUAUAUUAUUUGCCUUUCAUAAAAAGGUUAAAUAAUAACACACUAUUAACAGAAAAACUUUAGCUGAAUUAAAUUUUGGGGUUUUUUGAGAUGGAGUUUUGCUUUUGUUGCCCAGGCUGGAGUGCAGUGGCACAAUCUCGCCUCACUGUGACCUCCAUCUCCCAGGUUCAAGCGAUUCUCCUGCCUCAGCCUCCCGAGUAGCUGGGAUUACAGGUGUGCACCACCACACCCAGCUAAUUUUGUAUUUUUAGUAGAGACGGGGUUUCACCCAUGUUGGUCAGGCUGGUCUCGAACUCCUGACCUCAGGUGAUCUGCUCUCCUCAGACUCCCAAAGUGCUGAGAUUACAGGCGUGAGCCACCGCACCCAGCCAACUGAAUUAAAUUUAAAGGAGUUUAAUUGAGCAAUUAAUGAUUCGUGGAUCAGCCCCCGGAAUCGGAGCAGAUUCAGAGAGACCAGCACAGCCACAUGGUGGAAGAAGAUUCAUAGACAAAAAAAAAAGGAAGAUGAUGUACAGAAACCGGAAGUGAGUUACAGAAACAACUGGAUUGGUUACAAGUUUGCCUUACUUGAACAGUUUGAACACUCAAGCAACCUAUGAGUGGCUGAAGUAUGGCUGCUGGCUGGAUUGGCGAUUGUUCCAUCAGCGAUUGUUACAGGUGCAUACUCCUAAAUUAAUUUUCAACCUUGUCGACCUAUUAAGUUAGGUUAUGGUUCAUCUACAAGGACUCAAAUGUGGAAGUAUAGAGUCCUUCCCAGGCCAUAUUUAGUUCGCUUUAACAAUAGAUAACUCUUUUUUACAAUUUGAAGUGGAUGUGUUCUUAUGAACUAUUCCUUACAUUUCUUUAUAUUAGAAAUUCC
rnacentral:lncRNA from 1 species